CAGAUUUUGUCAGUAGCUCUAAAAAGUUUGAACUACAAAUAUUGCCAUAUCUUAAUGGCCCAAUAGAAAAAGAAGUAAAGGAUACCCUUGGCAGUGAUGUUUCACUCCACUGUGAUGUGGUUGGCUAUCCAGUAAUCUAUCAAUGGCGUGAUGAGGAAUAUUGUUUGAUUGGUGUUGGAAAAAAUUGCACAGAUCCUCGAAUCAGACAGAAAAACAACAUCUUGCAUAUAGAUGAUUUUGGGUAUAAGGAUCAAAAGAGAUAUACAUGUGUUGGAAGUGUUGGUG